rnacentral:rRNA from 1 species
GACGAACGCUGGCGGCGUGCUUAACACAUGCAAGUCGAACGGAAAGGCCCUGCUUUUGUGGGGUUCUCGAGUGGCGAACGGGUGAGUAACACGUGAGUAACCUGCCCUUUACUUUGGGAUAACUUCAGGAAACUGGGGCUAAUACCGGAUAGGAGCUCCUGCUGCAUGGUGGGGGUUGGAAAGUUUCGGCGGUUGGGGAUGGACUCGCGGCUUAUCAGCUUGUUGGUGGGGUAGUGGCUUACCAAGGCUUUGACGGGUAGCCGGCCUGAGAGGGGGACCGGCCACAAUAGGACUGCGAUACGGACCAGACGGCUAUGGGAGGCAGCAGUGGGAAAUAUUGCACAAUGGGGGGAAGCGUGAGGAGGCAGCGCCGCGUGCGGAAUGACGGCCUUCGGGUUGUAAACCGCUUUCGGCUGUGACGAAGCGUGAGUGACGGUAAUGGGUAAAGAAGCACCGGCUAACUACGUG